rnacentral:tRNA from 1 species
GGGGGGCUAGCUCAGCGGUAGAGCAGGGCGACUAUUAAUCACCCGGCUCGUAUCCGAGGCCGCGGUCGCGAUGUCUUGCGAAGUGCUCAGCAAAUGAAUGAGGGCGGGCGCGCUCCA